GCCAGGCACAGUGGCACAUGCCUAUGGUCCCAGUUACUUGGGAGGCAUGUGAAGAUCACUUGGUGCCGAUUGGGUGUCUGCAUUAAGUUUGGAAUCGUUAUGGUGACCUCCCAGGAGCGGGGAACCACUGGGUUGCCUAAGGUGGGGUGAACCUGCCCAGGUCAGAAAUGGAGGUCAAAACUCCCAUGCUAAUCAAUAGUGGGAUUGUGCCUAUAAAUAGCCACUGCACU
rnacentral:SRP_RNA from 1 species